GUGGGGAAUAUUGGGCAAUGGAUGCAAGUCUGACCCAGCCAUCCCGCGUGCCGGAAGAAGGCCCUCAGGGUUGUAAACGGCUUUUGACGGUGAAGAAUCGACAGGAUGCGUCCUGUUUUGACGGUAGCCGUUGAAUAAGCACCGGCUAACUCCGUGCCAGCAGCCGCGGUAAUACGGAGGGUGCGAGCGUUGUCCGGAUUUAUUGGGUUUAAAGGGUGCGUAGGCUGGAAGGUCAGUCAGCGGUGAAAAGCUAUCGCUUAACGAUAGUCUUGCCGCAGAUACUUCCUUUCUUGGAUGAGGAGGAGGCCACUGGAACGGAUGGUGUAGCGGUGAAAUGCAUAGAUAUCAUCCAGAACACCGAUUGCGAAGGCAGGUGGCUGUACCUUAAUCGACGCUGAUGCACGAAAGCAUGGGGAGCAAACAGGAUUAGAUACCCGGGUAGUCC
rnacentral:rRNA from 1 species